rnacentral:rRNA from 1 species
GUCGAACGGUAGCAGGCCUUCGGGCGCUGACGAGUGGCGGACGGGUGAGUAACGCGUAGGAAUCUGCCUCAUAGUGGGGGACAACGUGGGGAAACUCACGCUAAUACCGCAUACGCCCUACGGGGAAACGGCGGGGAGUCUUCGGACCUCGCGCUAUGAGAUGAGCCUGCGUUAGAUUAGCUAGUUGGUAGGGUAAAGGCCUACCAAGGCGACGAUCUAUAGCUGGUCUGAGAGGACGAUCAGCCACACUGGGACUGAGACACGGCCCAGACUCCUACGGGAGGCAGCAGUGGGGAAUAUUGGACAAUGGCGCAAGCCUGAUCCAGCAAUACCGCGUGUGUGAAGAAGGCCUUAGGGUUGUAAAAGCACUUUCAAUUGGGAGGAAAAACCUGUCGGUCAAUACCCGGCAGCUUGACAUUACCUUUUAGAAGAAG